rnacentral:tRNA from 1 species
GUGACUGUAGCUCAGUUGGUAGAGCCAUCGGUUGUGGUCCGAUUGGUCGUCGGUUCGAGUCCGAUCAGUCACCCGA